rnacentral:rRNA from 1 species
UCCUACGGGAGGCAGCAGUGAGGAAUAUUGGUCAAUGGGCGAGAGCCUGAACCAGCCAAGUCGCGUGAGGGAAGACGGUCCUAUGGAUUGUAAACCUCUUUUGCCGGGGAGCAAAAGGCGGUACGCGUACCGCAUCGAGAGUACCCGGAGAAAAAGCAUCGGCUAACUCCGUGCCAGCCGCGGUAAUACGGAGGAUGCGAGCGUUAUCCGGAUUUAUUGGGUUUAAAGGGUGCGCAGGCGGCGAGUUAAGUCAGCGGUAAAAUUUCGGGGCUCAACCCCGAUAAGCCGUUGAAACUGGCUUGCUA